UACGAAGGGGGCUAGCGUUGCUCGGAAUCACUGGGCGUAAAGGGUGCGUAGGCGGGGUUUUAAGUCAGAGGUGAAAUCCUGGAGCUCAACUCCAGAACUGCCUUUGAUACUGGAAAUCUUGAGUAUGGGAGAGGUGAGUGGAACUGCGAGUGUAGAGGUGAAAUUCGUAGAUAUUCGCAAGAACACCAGUGGCGAAGGCGGCUCACUGGCCCAUAACUGACGCUGAGGCACGAAAGCGUGGGGAGCAAACAGG
rnacentral:rRNA from 1 species